GACGUAGGAGGCGAGCGUUGUCCGGAUUCAUUGGGCGUAAAGAGCACGCAGGCGGUUUGUCAAGUCGGUUGUGAAAACCCGGAGCUCAACUCCGGACCUGCAUCCGAAACUGCCCGACUAGAGGUAGGUAGGGGAGAUCGGAAUUCCUGGUGUAGCGGUGAAAUGCGCAGAUAUCAGGAGGAACACCGGUGGCGAAGGCGGAUCUCUGGGCCUUACCUGACGCUCAGGUGCGAAAGCUAGGGGAGCGAACAGG
rnacentral:rRNA from 1 species